GACAGAGGAUGCAAGCGUUAUCCGGAAUGAUUGGGCGUAAAGCGUCCGCAGGUGGCAGUUCAAGUCUGCUGUCAAAGACCGGGGCUUAACUUCGGAAAGGCAGUGGAAACUGAACAGCUAGAGUAUGGUAGGGGCAGAGGGAAUUCCUGGUGUAGCGGUGAAAUGCGCAGAUAUCAGGAGGAACACCGGUGGCGAAGGCGGAUCUCUGGGCCCUACCUGACGCUGAGGCGCGAAAGCUAGGGGAGCGAACAGG
rnacentral:rRNA from 1 species